rnacentral:lncRNA from 1 species
GACGCCGCGGGCAGCAGCUCGGGACCCGACCGAGGAAAAGGCCACUUGGAGGAGGGGGUCGCUGCUUCGUUCUUAUUUGCAAAACGGUCCCGCAAGGCCGAGGGAGAAAAGUCUGGUAAACUCGGGCAUAAGGAGAGGUCUGUGGCGCCAGAUGUCCCUGACUCCGCAAUGCUAGUUCCUGGAAAGACCAAAAAGUGUUUGAGGCCUAAGGCCUGACCGUGAUAACCCAAGCAACCCCCAGCAACAACCAAUCAGCAUGAGACAGGGAAGAUAUCUGGAAGAGAAGAUAUCUUAUCCGGGGGAUCCCCCAGACCCCAGCACCCUCAAACCGGAGAAUCUGACACCAAUCGAGAAAUUCUUCAAAGAUCCUGGCGCUUAAGGAGGACACAGGCCGUGGCGGCCAGAGCCCCCAACCUGUCCUCCUGCCCCCGAACCCCUUUACCCAGCUCUGCAGAGCGGCAUGGACGAGGAACUCCUGUCUCCGCCA